AACGAACGCUGGCGGCAGGCUUAACACAUGCAAGUCGAACGAGAUCUUCGGAUCUAGUGGCAGACGGGUGAGGAACACGUGGGAACAUCCCUUUCAGUUCGGAAUAACGUUGGGAAACUAACGCUAAUACCGGAUACGUCCUUCGGGAGAAAGAUUUAUCGCUGAAAGAUUGGCCCGCGUCUGAUUAGCUAGUUGGUGAGGUAAUGGCUCACCAAGGCUACGAUCAGUAGCUGAUCUGAGAGGAUGAUCAGCCACAUUGGGACUGAGACACGGCCCAAACUCCUACAGGAGGCAGCAGUGGGGAAUAUUGGACAAUGGGCGCAAGCCUGAUCCAGCCAUGCCGCGUGAGUGAUGACGGCCUUCGGGUUGUAAAGCUCUUUUGUCCGGGAAGAUAAUGACUGUACCGGAAGAAUAAGCCCCGGCUAACUUCGUGCCAGCAGCCGCGGUAA
rnacentral:rRNA from 1 species